rnacentral:lncRNA from 1 species
AGUCCCCAGGAGAGGCUGGUGCAGGAAGGCUCAGACACUGUGUUCUCUGACAUAAUUUAUGGGCAUGAAGAAGGAGGAAAAGGAUGCAGGAAAGAAUUUAAGAGGCAAAGUGGAUGUGAUAAAGGAACGAGAAGAUCAUGAGAAAAGAUGAAAAAGAGAACAGUGACUGACCCAUGUCAUGAAGCAUCAGUUUCUAAACUUUGCUGUAUGCAGGCUCAAUGUGACGCACGGUGGGUGGUUACCAUGGCAUAGGAAAACAUUGCCAGCGCUGGCCCUGUCGUCAUGGAACCCCUGGGCCAUCUCCUGAGAAACUUGGUAAGGGCUC